GGAAAAUGGAAUGGAGAAAAGAUUGGCUAAAUGUUAGAAAAACCCUGAAAUGGAUGGAGCAAGAGAAAUUGGUGAUAACCAGGGAAGAUAAGACGAAGAAAAUAGUUAUUAUGGAUAGGUCGGCUUACGAUGAGUUCCUAGAAGCUUAUAUAGAACAGUCUGGAGCAGUAGAAGUCAGCGCGAAUCCGACUAAGAAGCUGAAAAACAAAAUGGAUAGGUUAGUCAAGCAUGAAAAAUUUCCAUGAGUUUGGAGGAUUAAGAGGCAAGAGGUGCCAACCUGUCCAAGGAUUUUUGCCUAUGCGAAAGUACACAAAGCUUCGAUCCAGUUUAGACCUAUAGUAGAAAAAACGGCACUGACAUACUACUUGAAGAAGACAAUUGCGAAGUGGUGC
rnacentral:lncRNA from 1 species